rnacentral:misc_RNA from 1 species
GAUGAAGAACGUAGCGAAAUGCGAUACUUGGUGUGAAUUGCAGAAUCCCGUGAACCAUCGAGUCUUUGAACGCAAGUUGCGCCCGAAGCCACUAGGCCGAGGGCACGCCUGCCUGGGCGUCACACGCCGUUGCCCCCCCAUCUACUCCUUCGGGAUUGCGGGGGGGCGGAUGAUGGCCUCCCGUGCGCCUAGCCGCGCGGUUGGCAUAAAUACCAAGUCCUCGGCGACGCACGCCACGACAAUCGGUGGUUGCGAGACCUCGGUUGCCCGUCGUGUGCGUUCGUCGCGCAUCGAGGGCUCGAAAAAAUGCUCGGCUCCGGCUGGGCUUUCAACGCGACCCCAGGUCAGGCGGGGUUACCCGCUGAAUUUAAGCAUAUCAAUAAGCGGAGGA